CUUCACUUCUCAUAUCGCAUUAGGAUUUUAGCUUCUUCACCACGCUUCCACCUCCCUCAUUCACAUUCUCUCUCCAUUAAGAAACCCUAGCCUCCUCCCUGUGAAUCAACCCUACGUAUCUUCAUCCCCAAUUGCGAUUGUAAGCAACAUGUAAGUUUUUUUUUUUCUGAAUCUUCAAUGCUCUAAACCUAACUUUCUUUGAUUGGAGCUUCUUCUAAUCAAGAACCUUAAAUUCUACAUUGGCGAUUCCAAAUGUACGUUUUCACUAUUCGAUUUCAUCUAAUCUUCAACAAUGAUCUCGGGUUUCUGCAUCUUCAACCUUACAUCUCCCUCUCAUUCGUCUCAAAAUUGAAUCCCUUCACCAAGGUUCCACUCUGAUUGAUGUUGCGGUUGUUUGUUGCCGUUGCUGGUGAUUCACAACCGUCGUUGCCGCUCUUUUGGUGUUCAAUGGUGGUAUUAAUGUGGAUUUUGUGUUAUUAGUUUGUUCGAUUUGAUUCUAUUUCCCUUGAUUAAUCUAGGGUUUUCGAGAUUUGUGAUCAUUAUCUUAUUUUACUGUAAAUUCGUUUAUUAUUUAUUCCAUACAGUUUAACAUAUUUGUUCGUUAUAUAUAUAUAUAUAUAUAUAUAUAUAUAUAUAUAUAUAUAUAUAUAUAGUUAUUAAAGAAAUAUAGGUAUCAUUGUGUUUUAGAUCAAUAGGUAUUAUUGUGUUAAAAAAUGUCGUUUUAGAUUAUAUUGUGUAUAGAUUUUUUUCCAGAUUAAUUUUUUGCUACUAUUUCAAAAAAAAAUAUUGUUUUCAUAUUUUAUCUUUUAUUAUGUCUUAAUCAAUUGUUGUAUAAAGAUGUUUAAUGUUAUUAUUUUGUUAUUUAGUUUGAAUGAAGUAAUAGGAUGCACGAACAAUGCAGGUCUCUGAUCCAAACCACUCAGGUGUGUUCAGCCUCUCUAGCCAUAGAUAAGUUAGGAUGAAUCUUCCUCUGGUGGUGUCGGGUAAGGUGUACAAUCGAUGAUAGUGGGAUGUUGUGUUGAUAUCGGUGCAAAACAAAAUGAAACGCCACACGGGUUUCGAUCAGAAAUUUGGUGACCCCUACGAGCUGCGUGUUUCAUUUCAAAGUUAAUUGGUGAACGGAAGUAUACUCCUGAGCAUUUAGUAAGGAGAAAAUUAUUGUAGAUGGAAAUUGUGAUUUGGCAAUGAGGCAGCUUGCCAGUAUUGGCUUUAAGAAUUUUAUAGCUAUAAAGUGGACACCUCAUGAUCCAGGAGAUGAAUAUUGCGACGUGGGAAGCGGAAAUGAUGGACAUAGGAUAAGAGUGAGUCCACGUGUCUCCACUGGCCGGAGAGUGGUGGUGAAGAAGUGGCCACAUGGUGAUGCUGAUGCGUUUUUUGAAUGGUGUUAAGAAGCUUCAGAAAAGGAGAAGAUUUGGAAGAAAUGAAUUCAGUUCUUUUAGUAUAUGUGAUGCUCAGAAGAGAUUCAGAAACAUAUGCUUAUAGGUUGUUUAUGCUUUUGUGCUUUAUUUGAAGCUAACUGGUUGUUUAGUUUGCUUAUGGAUAGUUAUGUAAAGGGAUUUGUUUGUGUUUAGAAUAGUAGCAUUAUUGGAUAAAAAUUAAGAAGCAGUUUCAGUUGCCAGUUGAUUGAAAGUUCGGUUCUUUUCAAGGGCCAAUUCACAUUAUUUCGCUAUCAUUUCACAUGUGUUUUUUCAUUCUAAUAUCAGUUUGUUAUUUUUAGAUGAUGAAAGCUUUUUAUAUGAUAAUUAUAGCUCCUUUUUAU